AGAUAACUAACUGCUAUUCAAUCUAUAACAGUGAAAAAAGUUUUUUGUUUUUUUAAAUCCAAGCUAUUGUGACACCAGAUCUAAUUAGUGGCACUUGUCAGCGUAUCCACUGUUAGCGUAACACACCCGCUUUAAGGACACUGACUGCUAUUCAAUCUAUAACAGUAAAAAAAGUUUUUUGUUUUUAAUCCAAGCUAUUGUGAC